UACGUAGGGUGCAAGCGUUAAUCGGAAUUACUGGGCGUAAAGCGUGCGCAGGCGGUUAUGUAAGACAGAUGUGAAAUGCCCGGGCUUAACCUGGGAACUGCAUUUGUGACUGCAUGGCUAGAGUUUGGCAGAGGGGGGUAGAAUUCCACGUGUAGCAGUGAAAUGCGUAGAUAUGUGGAGGAAUACCGAUGGCGAAGGCAGCCCCCUGGGAUAACACUGACGCUCAUGCACGAAAGCGUGGGGAGCGAACAGG
rnacentral:rRNA from 1 species